rnacentral:rRNA from 1 species
GACAGAGGUCCCGAGCGUUAGGCGGAAUCACUGGGCUUAAAGCGUGUGUAGGCGGAUUUGUAAGUACCUUGUGAAAUCCCACAGCUUAACUGUGGAACUGCUUGGUAUACUGCUUAUCUUGGGCCACUUAGGGGUUACCGGAACAAACGGUGGAGCGGUGAAAUGCGUAGAUAUCGUUUGGAACGCCAAUGGUGAAAACAGCUCGCUGGGGGUAUGCUGACGCUGAGACACGAAAGCCAGGGGAGCGAACGGG